rnacentral:rRNA from 1 species
CCUACGGGAGGCAGCAGUGGGGGAUAUUGCACAAUGGGGGAAACCCUGAUGCAGCGACGCCGCGUGUGGGAAGACGGUCCUCUGGAUUGUAAACCACUGUCCCCAGGGACGAAGAUGACGGUACCUGGGGAGGAAGCUCCGGCUAUCUACGUGCCAGCAGCCGCGGUAAUACGUAGGGAGCGAGCGUUGUCCGGAAUUACGGGGUGAAAAGGGAGCGUAGGCGGGACUGCAAGUUGGGUUUCAAAUCUACCGGCUCAACCGGUAGCCGCACUCAAAACUGCAGGUCUUGAGUGAAGUAGAGGGAGGCGGAAUUCCUAGUGUAGCGGUGAAAUGCGUAGAUAUUAGGAGGAACACCAGUGGCGAAGGCGGCCUGCUGGGCUUUUACUGACGCUGAGGCUCGAAAGUGUGGGGAGCAAACAGGAUUAGAUACCCUAGUAGUC